GGUCCAGUGCAGAGUGCCGCUAGUCCUGGGAAACGGGGUGCGGCUGGAAAGGCAGCCGCCCCCUCGCCCGU
rnacentral:miRNA from 10 species